CGCGGGGCGGGAGCUUGUGUCCCCCGAGCAGGUUCCGGACCACCUCGCAGCGCCGCGUCCUUAGGGGCGGGCUCGGGGGGCACCACCCUCGAGGGGCGGAACCCGUGGGGGCGGUGGCGUGGAUCCGGAGGUACCUGCUUCUUAAAUGCUGCAUUGAAAGGAUGAAACAGAACGGAUGUGAACAAGAGUUCCCUGAGAAAGGACAGCUCUUAGAGAGAUAGGAUAAUUACUGGACUCAAGAAGAUACCAAAUCAUGGUGUGCAUUUCUGCGUUGUGUUUGGAAGAGGAACUAGGAUUGUUAUGAAAAGGAAGGAUGUGUUCAACUUAGAAGAAUUAAACCUCAACCAUCUGUCUCUUCCAAAUGGCAUUCUUGAUUCUAAAAAUCUUAAGUAGAGUGUAAAGUUAUUGUUGGAUACUGUAGUAGCCAGGCUAAGCUGAGCUAUUCAGUGGAACAGAUAAACCCGAAAAUCUCAGUGGCUUAACACAACAAGAUUUAUUUCUUUUUAGUAUCACAAUCUGAUGUAGAUUGGGUUGGUCUCCUGCUUGGCUUUCCAUCAAGUGACAGCUCAGGGAUCCAAGUUGCUUUUAUUUGGAAACUGUCAUCUUGAGAGCAUUUUGUUUCCAGCUGUAUGGACAGGAGAUCCAGAAGGUGUGGAGAAGUGCAUCCUUCCUGGAUCACAAAUGAUACAUCACUUUAGCUCACAUUCCAUUGUUAAGAAUUAGUGACAUGAUCCCACUGGGAUUCAUGGGGUCUGGGAUAUGGAACACUUGGAUAUUUGGCGAGCAUGAACAAUCUUUGCCAUAGAAACAUUGCCUCUAUAAUGUUAUUCUAUAUCCCUUAUCUUCUCAUGGUAGAUUUCACAUAGGAUUAGUAUCAGGAAAACGUUUUUCUCUCCUAAAAUGUUGGUAUUCUUCUUUUUUCCCUCUGGAGUCAGGAACUUUAGAUUUAAUAUUAAUGACUAUCUAAUCUGAGAUUUUUAGUAGCAUCAUGUAUCCUAUUUCUCUAUUGUGUUUCUGGAAUA
rnacentral:lncRNA from 1 species